rnacentral:rRNA from 1 species
UAGGGAAUCUUCCACAAUGGACGCAAGUCUGAUGGAGCAACGCCGCGUGAGUGAAGAAGGUUUUCGGACCGUAAAGCUCUGUUGUUGGUGAAGAAGGAUAGAGGUAGUAACUGGCCUUUAUUUGACGGUAAUCAACCAGAAAGUCACGGCUAACUACGUGCCAGCAGCCGCGGUAAUACGUAGGUGGCAAGCGUUGUCCGGAUUUAUUGGGCGUAAAGCGAGCGCAGGCGGAAGAAUAAGUCUGAUGUGAAAGCCCUCGGCUUAACCGAGGAAUUGCAUCGGAAACUGUUUUCUUGAGUGCAGAAGAGGAGAGUAGAACUCCAUGUGUAGCGGUGGAAUGCGUAGAUAUAUGGAAGAAUACCAGUGGCGAAGGCAGCUCUCUGGUCUGCAACUGACGCUGAGGCUCGAAAGCAUGGGUAGCGAACAGGAUUAGAUACC